AUAAAUUCUAUGAAGAGAAAGAGUAAACUAUUAUAUUGUUCUACAGAGAGUUGGUGUUAUGCUGAAAGCCAAUGUUCAAUUGAUAGUUGAAAAUCAUCUCUGAGAAGCAAAGCUGAACUUUAUGAGUAAGCAAUGCAGGUAGUCCACCUUUAAAAGGAACGCGUAUUAUAAUGUACGUUGCUGAGUGUUGUAAAUUAAACUUCAUGUUUAUUUACAAAAUUAGGGUGGUAUCGCGGGUUAUAGCUCGUCCCUUAU
rnacentral:ncRNA from 1 species